GCCCACUGCGCAGGCGCUGGCCUCAGACACCUCACAACCCGUGCGGCCCCGCGAGAGGCGUUGGGCGGGGCUGGGAGGGCGCGGCCUGCGGGCUGCGGUGAAGACCCGCCUCCUGCAGUCAGGUGGCCUGGCGCAGCCAUAUUGCACAGGCUCCACCCUCCGUCCCGUGGCCCCGACCCAGUGGGCUGGGUGCUCCUUCCAGCAAGGGAGUCUUCCGUCUAUCUGUAAAGAGAAGACGCCCGCGGACCCACCGUCCGCACGUCUGUUGAGGCUAGCUAUUAAGUGGUAGGGAAUAUAGUCGGUCAUUGAACAUCUCCAAACUGAGAGGCACCGCUGGGUACUCCGGUUCUCCACUGUUGGUAGAAAGAGGGCCAGCAGUUUGGUGUCCAGAAAUGCCUUCUUUUAGUCCCUCUUCCCCAAACCCUUAGGCUUGUUAACGAGAGACAGGCAGACACCUCAACAGCAACGAAACCAUGUCAGAAUUAAAUUUUGAUUGCAAA